GGGCGUGCAUGUGCACGUAGGGCCCCCUGAGCCCCUCUCCAGGCAGCCCCUUGCACGCUUGAAUGCUGCCAGCCUGCAAGGGGAAACCCACUGUUUCCCGAUCCCAGCAGGCACUGCAAACCAAGGAGAAACACUGCCCCAGAAUCCUGCAGCCUGAGACAAGGACUUGAGGUUCCCACAGUGGGACCAUCCUGCCUUAGGGACGGGUGGUCUCCCAACCUCUAGCACUUCGUGCCAUUUUUCAAAAAGGAUAAUGAAUGCCAGCCUACAAGCUAAGUGGGUCUCACGCUGCGUUGAAACUAUAUGACUGGUGAGGAAAAACAAUCAAGAAAUAUGAUUUUGUUGAAGUUAACUAGAGUUAAUGAAACACAGGUCUUCAAUUUUUGUCACAGAGGUAAGAGAGAAAGAAGAAAACUGCUCUGAUGUGUAUUCAGCUUUUGGGUUCUCACUUCAUGUUUUUCCCCCUGGGUCUUUACGUGACUUCAGUUCUGGGUUUAGAGGCUGUGGUAGUGAUGCCUUGACAUCUUAUCAUUCAGACUCUCCAAUUUCAACUGAGAUGAGUACUCCUAAAUCAAAACUAGUGCGUUAACUUUCUAGCCCAGAGAUGCAGAGGCUGUUAUCAUUAUUCCGCCCUGUUACGUAGAGGGAUUUAGAGGGACCAAAUUAGCAGGCCAGUUUGCUCCCCCACUGCGCUUUAAGGGAUACCAAGCGUGCAGGCCAAAGAGGAGGCACUCAUCACACACCAAAAUAGAAGAUGGAUUAGAUUAUUUGUUUCCUGCAGUUUACGCACUUGCUGUAUUUCAGAUUUGCAACAGCAACGGAAACUGCCACUGCGACUUUGGAUGGGCCCCCCCAUACUGUACAGAGAAAGGAUCUGGAGGAAGCCUUGACAGUGGCCCUCCUCCAUCUACCUCUGUUACUAAGUGCUGUGACAAUCUUACCACUCUGCAUAUUGCCCUGCCUUUUUUGGUUGAUGUGUCUCUUGGGUUUGUCCCUUGGUUCAAAUAAGCUUGUGUACCUGGUCAUUUAUUUGCUGAGAGUCUUUUCUGCCUAAUCUGCCUUCCUUUUUAAAUCCUUCAAGAGAUUUAUGUAAUGCAUGAUCCUGGAUGAGGGUAUGCUUAUGGGACAUACCCAGAUUAUGGAAUAUAUUAGACCACCAAUUUUCUUACAUUUAGUAGCCAAAAAUGAAGCACACAGACUGCACAAGCCCUAGUGCUGCUGAGUGCUCUUCGACCGCUUCUCACUCUAGAUAUAAAGUGGAUUUCAACCUGUUUUCCUUUGUGGACCCCAAAAAGUUUCCAGCGGAGGUGUGUGGAUCCCUUUGACUUGUAAGUGUGCGCAUUCACAUACUUUUGAUUGAUCAGAGUCAUCUCUUGCAGACCCCUAGACAUAGUCUGCAGACCCCCAGAGGUCCACCGACCGCAGGUUGCAAACCACUGCUCUCGAUCUCCGACCCCAGUGACUUCUGCAGUAGAGUUUCCAUCCUAGAAAGGGACACAGCACACGUGGACACAGCUUUUAUAACAGCUCUCCUCUCCUCUGAGAAAUGUAAUGUCAUCCAGCACCUCAAUUAGGACAAAUACCACAUUCAUUGCUUCUGUUUGACUCAUUGAUUUCCAAACAUUUUGGCCCUGCUCCGUAGAUAUUAUUUUCAUUUAUAGCAGGGCCUCACUACCUUUGCAGACAAUUUGCCAGUUAGCAAAUAUUCCCGCCAGUGGCUCUGCAACGAUGUCGAGCAGUGCCUUCAGCACCCUCGGAUGGAGCCCAUCCGGGCCUGCCCACUUAAAAGCAUCCAGUUUUUCCAAGUGACUCUGCACCAUCUCAGGGUCUACGCAUGGCAGUCUGGCGCCUUGCUGCUGCCUCUCUACAACCCCAGUGAGAGGCCUUUACUUGGGAUGCCAUCGUCAGCUCCAUGGCAGCUUUGGCCCGUCUAACUGCCUCCCUACAAGCGCGAGCAGAGGAGGUAUACUCCUCUUUGGUGAUCUCUCCCUGUUUCCACUUUUUAUGUGCUCCCCUUUGGCCCGUAGGCUGCCCUGGAUUUCUCUGGUCAGCCAGGGAAGCCUCCUGGCCCCUUUCCCUCUUUUUCCUCACAUCGGGACUGUCUCUCUUUGUGCCCGAAGGAUCAUUUCCUUAAGGCACAGCCACCCUUCUUGGGCUCCCAUCACUUCAAAACUCCUACUCUGCAGUGCGUCCUUGACUAAUCGCCUGAGUUCACUGAAAUCAGCUUUCCUAACGUCUAGUACUUUCACCCUACUAGUUACAGGCACAAACAUUUUGGCCCUGCUCCGUAGCUACUAUUUUCAUUUAUAGCAGUGCCUGGCUACCUUUGCAGACAAUUUGCCAGUUGGCUCCAGGAAAGCCUUCCUGGCCCUUAGCUCAGAGGUGCAAGCAAUAGCCAAAACACCUCUGCUUUAGAUGUGGCAGCGCUGCCUCACAAGCCGUGGGCAUGGCAUGGUCACGAAACAUUGCUCCUGGCUCCAGGGGUCCUGAUUCCUGAGGGAUGUGAUUAGCACUGAGGAGAGCCGUCCUUUCAAGAGAUUGCAAAAGAGAUUUUGUGCUAUAUACCUGGAAGCAGUUGAAUGCAUCCUUCCUUUGUUCGGUGUGUGCACACCUGCUCCUCAGUGAAAGCAUAGGCACCAGGUCUUUUCCAGUGAGAGAGACCUGCACCGAUUCUCUACUCCUACUCUAUUUAUUGGCCGUCCGCAAAUCCAAUACGAAUCCUGGCACCUGAUGUACAGAGAAAACCAGUUACAGGGUUUGUACUGUUAGUUAACUGGUGGGAGAGGGAAGGGGAGAAGGAGAGCCGGAGAGAGCGAGCACGUGCACAGGCAUGCAGUCCUAAAAGUACCUGGGUCAAAUCACACUAAAACAUGUGUUACAGUUGUACCAGGAACGGCUGAAUUAAAGAAAGUAUAACCUUGUGUCUCUUUGUGUUUCCAAGCAUCCUCCAAUACCUUUUUAAUAGGGAUAAUCAUAGGAAGCGUGAUUCUCCUUCUGCUUAUCACCAUUGCAGUGUGUAGUAUUGCCUGUCGCUUUCGAAGGUCUGGUCAGAAAUCACAGACAAGCAAGAAAAAAAACGAUUCUUCUGCUAGUGUAGGCAAGGGCAGUCGAAAGUAAUCAGGAGCAAUUGCGUCUUUGUGCACCAAAAAGGGAUCCUUGAAAAAGGUCAGAAGAGCAUUUUGCCAACUGCUGAUGUAGCGUUUCAUAAUUUCCAGCUCCGUGGGAUUCAUCAAAAGCCUUCUUAUAUCCUCAACCCUGUCAGCGUCUGUCUAUUUUUGUUCACCGGUUAAAAUCUUGUUUUUGCUUAAAUAA